UCUAGUUGUUUUAAAACCUUUUAUAUAUUUUAAAUAAACUGGCUUAAGUCCACUGACAUCCGAUACAACAUUAGAAGCUGAAUAUUAAAUAUGUGAAAAAAAUGCUCAUAAAUAAAUAAAUAAAUAUAAAUUGUUUGUUUCGUAGAUGUAAGACACAAAUACAGACACUUUUUAUUCUGUCUAUACGAAAUUUAUGAUUAAUCAUUGCAUGUAUUUAUAAUUCUGCACGACUCUCGAAUUCAACAUUGAGAGGUCACAAGGUCAAGUUGUUGUUUUUUUUAACUCCCUCCAUUACGAUAUAUUAUAGUUCAGAAAUCUGAAGGUAAGUUCAUGUCCUUGUCGGAAAUGAUUUAGCUCAAUGUAAGGUUCUUAUUGAGACAGCCCACAUUGA